rnacentral:rRNA from 1 species
UGGGGAAUUUUGGACAAUGGGGGAAACCCUGAUCCAGCCAUCCCGCGUGUGCGAUGAAGGCCUUCGGGUUGUAAAGCACUUUUGGCAGGAAAGAAACGUCAUGGGUUAAUACCCCGUGAAACUGACGGUACCUGCAGAAUAAGCACCGGCUAACUACGUGCCAGCAGCCGCGGUAAUACGUAGGGUGCAAGCGUUAAUCGGAAUUACUGGGCGUAAAGCGUGCGCAGGCGGUUCGGAAAGAAAGAUGUGAAAUCCCAGAGCUCAACUUUGGAACUGCAUUUUUAACUACCGGGCUAGAGUGUGUCAGAGGGAGGUGGAAUUCCGCGUGUAGCAGUGAAAUGCGUAGAUAUGCGGAGGAACACCGAUGGCGAAGGCAGCCUCCUGGGAUAACACUGACGCUCAUGCACGAAAGCGUGGGGAGCAAACA